rnacentral:misc_RNA from 1 species
GGGAGCGAAAGCGGUACUCAAACCCAAAAAUCUAUAAAAUCAAAAAGUAGUGAGAAGUCUGAAAACAACAGCGGUAGCAAUGACGGGGAAGAUAAUGGGCGGUACGGCCUAAAUGUUGGUAAAGGCAGUGAGGAUGGAAGUGGCACACAGAAUUCCUGGACAAAGCAAGCUGUUGAAGCUGUUAGCUCUCAGGCAGUUUCUCCAUUGAAUCAGGUACCUGAGUGUCCAGACAGCACUUGUGCACAGGUUGUUAGCUCUCAGGCAGUUUCUCCAUUGAAUCAGGUACCUGAGUGUCCAGA